rnacentral:rRNA from 1 species
CGGCCCGUACCCUAAACCGACUCAGGUGGUCAGGUAGAGAAUACCGAGGCGUUCGGGUGAACUAUGGUUAAGGAACUCGGCAAAAUGCCCCCGUAACUUCGGGAGAAGGGGGGCCACACCUGGUGAAGGAACUUGCUUCCUAAGCUGGGGGUGGCCGCAGAGACCAGCGAGAAGCGACUGUUUACUAAAAACACAGGUCCGUGCGAAGCCGUAAGGCGAUGUAUACGGACUGACGCCUGCCCGGUGCUGGAACGUUAAGGGGACCGGUUAGCUCCAUUUCGGUGGGGCGAAGCUGAGAACUUAAGCGCCAGUAAACGGCGGUGGUAACUAUAACCAUCCUAAGGUAGCGAAAUUCCUUGUCGGGUAAGUUCCGACCUGCACGAAUGGCGUAACGACUUCUCGACUGUCUCAACCAUAGGCCCGGUGAAAUUGCACUACGAGUAAAGAUGCUCGUUUCGCGCAGCAGGACGGAAAGACCCCGGGACCUUUACUACAGUUUGAUAUUGGUGUUCGGUUCGGCUUGUGUAGGAUAGGUGGGAGACUGUGAAGCCGUGACGCCAGUCAUGGUGGAGUCGUCGUUGAAAUACCACUCUGGUCGUGCUGGAUGUCUAACCUCGGUCCGUGAUCCGGAUCAGGGACAGUGUCUGAUGGGUAGUUUAACUGGGGCGGUUGCCUCCCAAAGGGUAACGGAGGCGCCCAAAGGUUCCCUCAGCCUGGUUGGCAAUCAGGUGUUGAGUGUAAGUGCACAAGGGAGCUUGACUGUGAGACCGACGGGUCGAGCAGGGACGAAAGUCGGGACUAGUGAUCCGGCGGUGGCUUGUGGAAGCGCCGUCGCUCAACGGAUAAAAGGUACCCCGGGGAUAACAGGCUGAUCUUCCCCAAGAGUCCAUAUCGACGGGAUGGUUUGGCACCUCGAUGUCGGCUCGUCGCAUCCUGGGGCUGGAGUCGGUCCCAAGGGUUGGGCUGUUCGCCCAUUAAAGCGGUACGCGAGCUGGGUUUAGAACGUCGUGAGACAGUUCGGUCCCUAUCCGCUGUGCGCGUAGGAAUAUUGAGAAGGGCUGUCCCUAGUACGAGAGGACCGGGACGGACGAACCUCUGGUGUGCCAGUUGUCCUGCCAAGGGCAUGGCUGGUUGGCUACGUUCGGGAGGGAUAACCGCUGAAAGCAUCUAAGCGGGAAGCCUGCUUCGAGAUGAGUAUUCCCACCCACUUGAUGGGGUAAGGCUCCCAGUAGACGACUGGGUUGAUAGGCCGGAUGUGGAAGCCCUGCAAAGGGUGGAGCUGACCGGUACUAAUAGGCCGAGGGCUUGUCCUC